AAUGUUUAUUGCAUUUUCUGACAAUCUGUCAAUCAGGAUGUAGACCUGUGCAUGACAGGAAGAGCAAUGGAAGAUCCCAAAUCCAUUCAGAGGAGGUUUGAAGCGGCUGUUAAAGUGAUCCGAAGUGUACCUGAAGAUGGCUCCUAUGACCUGUCUGAUGAUAUGCUGGUUAUGUUCUACAGUUACUACAAACAAGCUACAGCAGGACCGUGUAACACCCCGAAACCCAACUCUUGGGAUCCUAUUGGUAAAGCUAAAUGGGAGGCAUGGAAAAUUUUGGGAAACAUGUCAAAGGACCAAGCCAUGGUGGAAUAUGUUCAGGAAAUACAGCAGGUUGGUAGUUGUAUAGAUUGCAGAGAUGAAGCUCUAUCGCAUUGAGGUAUCAAUAAAAAGAGUUUAAACCAGAAACAAUCAAAUGUUUUAUCAUAGAUAAUUGAAACCCUCCCGGUCACAGACAGGAUGGCAGAAUUAAUGGACGCUCUUGACCCAUUUUAUGAGAUGGUGGCGGAAGAUGAUGAUGAUGAAGAUGAUGCAUUCAGUAAAGCAGCACCCUUAUCCACAGGAAACACUAAUGGCGAAAAAACUGAUGAUGAUGAUGCUGCUGAGAAACUUAAAGCGGGGGAAAGUGAAAUUAAUGGGGAAAAUAAGAAAGAUGAGCUGGAGAUGGAGAAGAGGAGGAAAGGUACAGGAACAGCUUUGUGUCUGUAUUUUCAAGACGGUGAUCUGAAAGGAUUCAUAACACUGUAUUUGAGGACUUCUCAGCUCUUUUUUUAUUCUGCAGACUCGAGCACAUUUGCAGCAGGGAGAGGAGGUUCAUCAGUGUUUAAUGAAAGUGAGGAGAACAGCAUGUCCUCCUCAACCGAUGACGCUCAUAGUUCUCUGAACACGGGGGAGGAAGAGGAGGAAUUGACUUAUGAUGACUCAGACGAUGAGAUGUACAGUGACUCGAUGGAAAAUCCAGCAACUCAAGAGAAGGGUUCGGGAGUUCCUAGGGUCCAUUUGGCAGAUGUGAGCGUGGCUGGGGCCCGCAUGCAACAAGGGGGAAACAGAGAGCCUCAGUGUGGGAGUCAGGAUGGAAAGCCACAGGAAGCUACACUCCCCGUCCCCCACCCACCGACACUUGGACCGGUCCGAACUGACAGAAUCUCAGCAGGCAGUGGAAGAGGUUGGGCUCGAGUCAGUGUUUGAAUAAGUCUUGAGCACCGUGACGUCAACAAGCAAUAAUGUGAUCAACAAGCCAAUUUUCCACCAGCAUUUGUAUAAACGUACAAUGCGAGUGAAUACUAUUAUACUUCUGCUAGGAAUCAUUUCCUAAUAAGGCAAGCCUCUAUUGCUAUUGCAUGUGGCAUUUA
rnacentral:lncRNA from 1 species